rnacentral:rRNA from 1 species
UAAACGACUCUCGGCAACGGAUAUCUCGGUCUCGAAUCGAUGAAGAACGUAGGCGAAUACGAUACUUGGUGUGAAUUGCAGAAUCCCGUGAACCAUCGAGUCUUUGAACGCAAGUUGCGCCCAAAGCCAUUAGGCCGAGGGCACGUCUGCCUGGGCGUCA